GAGAUAUUAGUAAAGUCUUAUGUAACUUUGUCAAAGUUAAAUCACAAGUGAAAACCCUGUAUAUCUCC
rnacentral:tRNA from 1 species